rnacentral:rRNA from 1 species
UACGUAGGGUGCUAGCGUUAAUCGGAAUUACUGGGCGUAAAGCGUGCGCAGGUGGUUAUGCAAGACAGAGGUGAAAUCCCCGGGCUCAACCUGGGAACUGCCUUUGUGACUGCAUAGCUAGAGUACGGUAGAGGGGGAUGGAAUUCCGCGUGUAGCAGUGAAAUGCGUAGAUAUGCGGAGGAACACCGAUGGCGAAGGCAAUCCCCUGGACCUGUACUGACGCUCAUGCACGAAAGCGUGGGGAGCAAACAGG